GGACUGUGCAAUGACGUUAAAUAGCGUAAUGACGUAUGACGCGUGGAACGAGCUGUUCUUCCUGUUGAAUAAAGUGUCAUAUUAAUAAGUUUCCCGUCAUUCUAAAAUCCUAAUUUCACUCGCGUCUCUGUGAAGUGAAGCAGGACAACGUCCCACCAGUCCUUGUUUUGGAUUCUCAUCCAAAGAUGUCUGGUUUUGGCCGUGGUGAGGGGCAUUUUUCCUGCGUGAUCAAUAAGCAGCACGGCAAAACGGUUAAUCUGCUCUAAAUUAUGACCAGAGACAAAUUAAUAUUAUGUCUGCUGUUUAAAACAAAGAAAUAACCAAUAGAGGAGAAUAUUUAUGCGUGAACAGCCGGAAACUCUGUAUAUUUGUGCAGUGUGCCCAUGUCAAAACAUCAAAUCUGAUUUGAAACUUGUGACACAUAAACGCGCACAUCAACCCGAUUACUUUAUUUAUCAUUCAUGUAAACACCUUGUUCGGAUUCAUCAAUUGUAUUGAUUUCAUUCUGAUUGUGUCCAUGUAAACGUAGCUAAUGCUGUUAAAAUUCAGAGAUCAUUUUGGUCACUAUAGUCGUGAUAUGAACAUUUCAUACUGUUUCAUCUCUAUUCUGCGUCAUUCCUCUGUCUAAACAGCCAAGAGCAAAGAAUUUCAGCCCCAUUCCUCGUCUUCUCACUACCAAAUUCCCAAAGGAUGUUCAGUUAAAAUUGGAUAACAAAGAACCAUGUCAUAAGAUCAGCACUUACCGGCAUAAAAUUGUACGAGUGCUGCACGAGACUAUGGCUCAGCACACACUAUAUCCUUCAAACAGUGACUAUGUUUGUGCAGUCAAGGCUCUUAUCUCCAAAUACCCUUACCUGAGAGAUGCAGAGGGAAAUGGAUAUGUAAGUCAACUGUUUAAUAUUUAUUUUUUAGACAUUAAUGCAAUAUACAAUUUAUAGACAUGCUUAAAAGGUCAUGAAACCUGCUGUUUCAGCACCAGUUGGUUCUUGCUACAGUUUAAUUUUUUUUUUUUAAUUCUAUUAUGGCAAUAUUCACUAGUUCAGUGCUGAAAAAUAGUUUAAAGUUCCCAUUAGAGCAUGGUGUGUGAACUGUUGCUUUAUACUAUGGUGAGAAAAGAAAUAACAUUAAUUAAAAUUAAGCAAAAUUGUGUCCAAUGUUUUGAGUUUGGCUAAGGGGAAAUCCGUUACAGAAGCACAUUACAAGGAUGCCAGAAGAGAAGCUGUUGCAGAGAGUCUUUGUGGUAUGCAUGUUUUCCGUUUAGACAGCUUGUAUUGAAAAUACAAAUUGAAUAUUGUACGUCUUUAUACAGGCUAUAAGCUGCCUGGGGGGCAGGAUUUUAAAUCACUAAUUCGAGAGUAAAACAUUCACAUUUUUUAAAUAAGAAAUUAAUAAUUAUUUUUUUUAAAGUAGUUUUCGGCCAAGAGCAUCUAGAAGUUUUGGCCCUGAAUUUAUUCGGUGCAUCCCUGAAAGUAAGAUGAUAUAAAAACUAUUCUGGCUUAAGUUUAGAUAGACAGUUGUAACUAGUCAUUGGGAACAUGAAUUUAAUCCAGAUUUCCUUUUGAUGUUUGUAAUAUUGUUUUUUCCAUUCUGUUUAGGAAGAACCAGCCACACCAUAUCCCACUGUACAGAUUUUGGGAGCGUCUAACUGGAAACAGGUCUUCAGCCAGAAGAGAAUUUUCAGCACUGUGAAAAUGAAGGGAUCUUUGCUGAGCAGUUGGGAUGGAGAACGGUGUUCUCUCUGCUUUUUGCACGUAUUUUGUAUUCAACCUUUCGUCCCUCAUACAACAGGAACACACAUCUCUUUCUCCAAAGGCAUGUGUUGAAGCUAACUGCACCUGGUGACAAACCAUUGCCAACUGCUGUCGUCAGGAUUA
rnacentral:lncRNA from 1 species